GGGUAUAGCUCAGUUGGUAGAGUGCUUGCCUUGCAUGCACAAGUCCCUGGGUUCAAUUCCCAGGACUGCCCC
rnacentral:tRNA from 1 species